rnacentral:lncRNA from 1 species
UAAUAUAUUCUAGCAUUUUUUAAUCUGAAUAAUAUCCUUCUGGGUAAAUUUCUUCGUAUAACUGUUCUAGACAAUUUGUAGUUUCAAUUUCAUAGUUUAUUACUUCUUCUAAUAUUAUUUUCUUGAUAUCUAUUAUUUCUAUAUCUUUGAGUAUAUAUAAGAUUAAAACUUUAAGAUAAUCUAGAUAAUCUAUCUUUUAAAAUUGGUUUUAUUAUAGUGUUUUGUAGUUGUUUGUUUUAGCCUUAGUAGUUUUUGCAUAUUUUUAUUAAGAAAUUUUAUAUCUUUAUUUUUCAUGUAUUUAUCUAUAUUUAUUUUUAUCUGUUUUUCUAGUAACUGCAUAUUUUUUAUAUCUUUUUCUAAAAAUUUUAUGUAACUUAUCAUCGUAAGUAGUUAUAAGAGUAGUUAGGUAGAUAUGAUAUAUAAUUUACUCUAGUCAUGUAAUAUUCACCAAAAGCUUUUUCUAAUAUGAUUUUUCUUAUAUCUGCUACUUUUAUAUUUCUAAGUGCAUACAAAAUAAGUAUUUUGAAUUUAUCUACCAUCACAUCAGAUAUAUUAUCAUUCAUUUUCAUAAAAUUG